rnacentral:rRNA from 1 species
GACGAACGCUGGCGGCGUGCUUAACACAUGCAAGUCGAACGAAGAGCGAUGGAAGCUUGCUUCUAUCAAUCUUAGUGGCGAACGGGUGAGUAACGCGUAAUCAACCUGCCCUUCAGAGGGGGACAACAGUUGGAAACGACUGCUAAUACCGCAUACGAUCUAAUCUCGGCAUCGAGGAUAGAUGAAAGGUGGCCUCUACAUGUAAGCUAUCACUGAAGGAGGGGAUUGCGUCUGAUUAGCUAGUUGGAGGGGUAACGGCCCACCAAGGCGAUGAUCAGUAGCCGGCCGGAGAGGAUGAACGGCCACAUUGGGACUGAGACACGGCCCAGACUCCUACGGGAGGCAGCAGUGGGGAAUCUUCCGCAAUGGACGAAAGUCUGACGGAGCAACGCCGCGUGAGCGAUGACGGCCUUCGGGUUGUAAAGCUCUGUUAAUCGGGACGAAAGGCCUUCUUGCGAAUAGUGAGAAGGAUUGACGGUACCGGAAUAGAAAGCCACGGCUAACUACGUG